GACGAACGCUGGCGGCGUGCCUAAUACAUGCAAGUCGAACGCUGAAGAGAGGAGCUUACUCUUCUUGGAUGAGUUGCGAACGGGUGAGUAACGCGUAGGUAACCUGCCUUGUAGCGGGGGAUAACUAUUGGAAACGAUAGCUAAUACCGCAUAACAAUGGAUGACACAUGUCAUUUAUUUGAAAGGGGCAAUUGCUCCACUACAAGAUGGACCUGCGUUGUAUUAGCUAGUAGGUGAGGUAAUGGCUCACCUAGGCGACGAUACAUAGCCGACCUGAGAGGGUGAUCGGCCACACUGGGACUGAGACACGGCCCAGACUCCUACGGGAGGCAGCAGUAGGGAAUCUUCGGCAAUGGGGGCAACCCUGACCGAGCAACGCCGCGUGAGUGAAGAAGGUUUUCGGAUCGUAAAGAUCUGUUGUAAGUCAAGAACGGGUGUGAGAGUGGAAAGUUCACACUGUGACGGUAGCUUACCAGAAAGGGACGGCUAACUACGUG
rnacentral:rRNA from 1 species